rnacentral:rRNA from 1 species
UGCAGUCGAACGAUGAAGCCGGGUGCUUGCACCGGGUGGAUUAGUGGCGAACGGGUGAGUAUCACGUGAGUAACCUGCCCUUGACUCUGGGAUAAGCCUGGGAAACUGGGUCUAAUACCGGAUAUGACCAGUCCUCGCAUGGGGUGCUGGUGGAAAGAUUUAUCGGUCUUGGAUGGACUCGCGGCCUAUCAGUUUGUUGGUGAGGUAAUGGCUCACCAAGGCGAUGACGGGUAGCCGGCCUGAGAGGGUGACCGGCCACACUGGGACUGAGACACGGCCCAGACUCCUACGGGAGGCAGCAGUGGGGAAUAUUGCACAAUGGGCGCAAGCCUGAUGCAGCGACGCCGCGUGCGGGAUGACGGCCUUCGGGUUGUAAACCGCUUUCAGCAGGGAAGAAGCUUUUUGUGACGGUACCUGCAGAAGAAGCGCCGGCUAACUACGUGCCAGCAGCCGCGGUAAUACGUAGGGCGCGAGCGUUAUCCGGAAUUAUUGGGCGUAAAGGGCUCGCAGGCGGUUUGCCACGUCUGCUGUGAAAGCCCGGGGCUUAACUCCGGGUGUGCAGUGGGUACGGGUAGACUAGAGUGCAGUAGGGGAGACUGGAAUUCCUGGUGUAGCGGUGAAAUGCGCAGAUAUCAGGAAGAACACCGAUGGCGAAGGCAGGUCUCUGGGCUGUUACUGACGCUGAGGAGCGAAAGCAUGGGGAGCGAACAGGAUUAGAUACCCUGGUAGUCCAUGCCGUAAACGUUGGGCACUAGGUGUGGGGGGACAUUCCACGUUUUCCGCGCCGUAGCUAACGCAUUAAGUGCCCCGCCUGGGGAGUACGGCCGCAAGGCUAAAACUCAAAGGAAUUGACGGGGGCCCGCACAAGCGGCGGAGCAUGCGGAUUAAUUCGAUGCAACGCGAAGAACCUUACCAAGGCUUGACAUGGACCGGGAUCGCUGCAGAGAUGUAGUUUCCCUUCGGGGCUGGUUCACAGUGGUGCAUGGUGUCGUCAGCUCGUGUCGUGAGAUGUUGGGG